rnacentral:rRNA from 1 species
GACAUAGGUGGCAAGCGUUAUCCGGAAUUACUGGGCGUAAAGAGUGCGUAGGUGGUUCAAUAAGUUACUGGUGGGAAAUCGGGGCUCAACCUCGUGGAAGUCAGUAAUACUAUUAAACUAGAGGGUCGGAGAGGUUAACGGAAUUCUAUGUGUAGCGGUAAAAUGCUUAAAUAUAUAGAGGAACACCAAACGGCGAAGGCAGUUAACUAUUCGAUUCCUGACGUUGAGGCACGAAAGCGUGGGGAGCAAGACGG